UACGUAGGGUGCGAGCGUUAAUCGGAAUUACUGGGCGUAAAGCGUGCGCAGGCGGUUUUGUAAGCCAGAUGUGAAAUCCCCGGGCUUAACCUGGGAAUGGCAUUUGGGACUGCAAGGCUUGAGUGCGGCAGAGGAGACUGGAAUUCCUGGUGUAGCAGUGAAAUGCGUAGAGAUGUGGAGGAAUACCGAUGGCGAAGGCAGCCCCCUGGGAUAACACUGACGCUCAUGCACGAAAGCGUGGGGAGCAAACAGG
rnacentral:rRNA from 1 species